rnacentral:rRNA from 1 species
GGGCAAUGCGCAGCUAUACAUGCAGUCGAGCGAACGGACGAGAAGCUUGCUUCUCUGAUGUUAGCGGCGGACGGGUGAGUAACACGUGGAUAACCUACCUAUAAGACUGGGAUAACUUCGGGAAACCGGAGCUAAUACCGGAUAAUAUUUUGAACCGCAUGGUUCAAAAGUGAAAGACGGUCUUGCUGUCACUUAUAGAUGGAUCCGCGCUGCAUUAGCUAGUUGGUAAGGUAACGGCUUACCAAGGCAACGAUGCAUAGCCGACCUGAGAGGGUGAUCGGCCACACUGGAACUGAGACACGGUCCAGACUCCUACGGGAGGCAGCAGUAGGGAAUCUUCCGCAAUGGGCGAAAGCCUGACGGAGCAACGCCGCGUGAGUGAUGAAGGUCUUCGGAUCGUAAAACUCUGUUAUUAGGGAAGAACAUAUGUGUAAGUAACUGUGCACAUCUUGACGGUACCUAAUCAGAAAGCCACGGCUAACUACGUGCCAGCAGCCGCGGUAAUACGUAGGUGGCAAGCGUUAUCCGGAAUUAUUGGGCGUAAAGCGCGCGUAGGCGGUUUUUUAAGUCUGAUGUGAAAGCCCACGGCUCAACCGUGGAGGGUCAUUGGAAACUGGAAAACUUGAGUGCAGAAGAGGAAAGUGGAAUUCCAUGUGUAGCGGUGAAAUGCGCAGAGAUAUGGAGGAACACCAGUGGCGAAGGCGACUUUCUGGUCUGUAACUGACGCUGAUGUGCGAAAGCGUGGGGAUCAAACAGGAUUAGAUACCCUGGUAGUCCACGCCGUAAACGAUGAGUGCUAAGUGUUAGGGGUUUCCGCCCCUUAGUGCUGCAGCUAACGCAUUAAGCACUCCGCCUGGGGGAGUACGACCGCAAGGUUGAAACUCAAAAGAAAAUUGACGG